GAAAGUAAAUAAGGGCGUAUGGCGGAUGCCUAGGCUCAUGGAGGCGAUGAAGGACGUGAUAAGCUGCGUUAAGCCUUGGGUAGGUGCAAAUAACCUUUGAUCCAAGGAUUUCCGAAUGGGACAACCCAACUAUCAUCAGAUAGUUAUUACUGUAUAUCAGUAAGGCAAACGGAGGGAACUGAAACAUCUUAGUACCUCUAGGAGAAGAAAAUAAUUAAAUGAUUCCCUUAGUAGUGGCGAGCGAACGGGGAGAAGCCCAAACCACGGUUGUAGCAAUGCAAUCGUGGGGUAGUAGGAGCAUAAUAUUGUACUUUGAUUGUGAAUAGAAUGAACUGGAACGUUCAGCCAUAGCGGGUGAAAGCCCCUUAUAUGAAGCAAGAGAAGACAUAGUGUUAUCCUGAGUAACGCGGAGCACGAGAAAUUCUGCGCGAAUCAGCCGGGCCCAUCCGGUAAGGCUAAAUACUCCCAUGAGACCGAUAGUGAACCAGUACCGUGAGGGAAAGGUGAAAAGAACCUCGAUGAGAGGAGUGCAAUAGAUCCUGAAACCAUACGCCUACAAGCGGUCGGAGCUGCUUUAUGCAGUGACGGCGUGCCUUUUGCAUAAUGAACCUACGAGUUACCGUCACCGGCAAGGUUAAGGAUAUAGAUAUCCGUCAACCGUAGUGAAAGCGAGCCUGAACAGGGCGUUUUAGUCGGUGGAGGUAGACGCGAAACCAAGUGAUCUACACAUGUCCAGGUUGAAGUCUCGGUAACACGAGAUGGAGGACCGCACCAAUAAGCGUUGAAAAGCUUCUGGAUGAGGUGUGUGUAGGAGUGAAAGGCCAAUCAAACUUGGAGAUAGCUCGUACUCCCCGAAAGGCAUUUAGGUGCCGCGUGCUAUGAUUUACAUAAGAGGUAGAGCGACCGAUAGGUCAAGAGGGCUUCACCGCCUAUCGCGACCUGACGAACUCCGAAUGCUUAUGUAUAGCAGUAGUGCAGUAAGGGGGCGGGUGCUAAGGUCCGUCCCCGAGAGGAGAAGAAUCCAGACCGCCGUCUAAGGUCCCUGAAUUCUGUCUAAGUUAGUCUAACGAAGUCCGGUCCCCGUGACAGCUAGGAUGUUGGCUUGGAAGCAGCCAUUCAUUCAAAGAGUGCGUAACAGCUCACUAGUCGAGGGUCUGGGCAUGGAUAAUAAUCGGGUAUAAGACAGAUACCGAAGGCGCGGGAUAGUAAUAAUAAAAGUAUCGGUAGGGGAGCAUUCUAUAUACGUUGAAUGGUUAAGGUAACUUUUCCUGGAGUGUAUAGAAAAGCAAAUGUAGGUAUAAGUAACGAUAAGAAGGGUAAGAUUCCCUUCCGCCGCAAGACUAAGGUUUCCCGGGCAAUGCCAAUCAUCCCGGGGUUAGUCGGGUCCUAAGUCUCAGCCGACAGGCGAGGGCGAUGGCAGACACGGUUAAUAUUCCGUGACUGCUGCAUGAUGCGAUUGUGGAGACGGAGAAGUGACACCACCGCGAGCUGACGGAAUAGCUCGUUGAAGAAAUUAGGCGUUGAUCAUGGUAGGCAAAUCCGCCAUGAGAGCUGACUUUUGAAAGUAUGGCAUUCCCUUCGGGGAAAGCCAAUAGUGUGGGUAAUCCUGCUUCCAAGAAAAUCCGCUAAGCUUCAGUCAUGCAGCACCCGUACCGCAAACGGACACACGUAGUCGGGUUGAAUAUACUCAGGCGUUGAGAGAUUCAUGGUUAAGGAACUAGGCAAAUUAACCCCGUAACUUCGGGAAAAGGGGUCCUCGUUUACUUACGAGGCGCAGAGAAUAGGUCCAGGCAACUGUUUACCAAAAACACAGGGCUGUGCUAACUCGAAAGAUGAAGUAUACAGUCUGACACCUGCCCGGUGCUGGAAGGUUAAGAGGAGAGGUUAUACGCAAGUAGAAGCUUUGAAUUGAAGCCCCAGUAAACGGCGGCCGUAACUAUAACGGUCCUAAGGUAGCGAAAUUCCUUGUCGGGUAAGUUCCGACCUGCACGAAUGGUGUAA
rnacentral:rRNA from 1 species